CGGACGUGGGUAACCUGCCUCAUACAGGGGGAUAGCAGCUGGAAACGGCUGAUAAAACCGCAUAAGCGCACAGCAUCGCAUGAUGCAGUGUGAAAAACUCCGGUGGUAUGAGAUGGACCCGCGUCUGAUUAGCUGGUUGGUGAGGUAACGGCCCACCAAGGCGACGAUCAGUAGCCGACCUGAGAGGGUGACCGGCCACAUUGGGACUGAGACACGGCCCAA
rnacentral:rRNA from 1 species